AUUGAACGCUGGCGGCAGGCCUAACACAUGCAAGUCGAGCGGAUGAGUGGAGCUUGCUCCAUGAUUCAGCGGCGGACGGGUGAGUAAUGCCUAGGAAUCUGCCUGGUAGUGGGGGACAACGUUUCGAAAGGAACGCUAAUACCGCAUACGUCCUACGGGAGAAAGUGGGGGAUCUUCGGACCUCACGCUAUCAGAUGAGCCUAGGUCGGAUUAGCUAGUUGGCGAGGUAAAGGCUCACCAAGGCGACGAUCCGUAACUGGUCUGAGAGGAUGAUCAGUCACACUGGAACUGAGACACGGUCCAGACUCCUACGGGAGGCAG
rnacentral:rRNA from 1 species